rnacentral:rRNA from 1 species
ACGAAGGGGGCUAGCGUUGCUCGGAAUUACUGGGCGUAAAGGGCGCGUAGGCGGACAGUUAAGUCAGAGGUGAAAGCCCAGGGCUCAACCCUGGAAUAGCCUUUGAUACUGGCUGUCUUGAGUGCGGGAGAGGUGUGUGGAACUCCGAGUGUAGAGGUGAAAUGCGUAGAUAUCAGGAGGAACACCGGUGGCGAAAGCGCGAUACUGGGCCAUAACUGACGCUGAGGAACGAAAGCCAGGGGAGCGAGAGGGA